rnacentral:rRNA from 1 species
GAUGAACGCUGGCGGCGUGCCUAAUACAUGCAAGUCGAGCGAACAGACGAGGAGCUUGCUCCUCUGACGUUAGCGGCGGACGGGUGAGUAACACGUGGAUAACCUACCUAUAAGACUGGGAUAACUUCGGGAAACCGGACCUAAUACCGGAUAAUAUAUUGAACCGCAUGGUUCAAUAGUGAAAGACGGUUUUGCUGUCACUUAUAGAUGGAUCCGCGCCGCAUUAGCUAGUUGGUAAGGUAACGGCUUACCAAGGCAACGAUGCGUAGCCGACCUGAGAGGGUGAUCGGCCACACUGGAACUGAGACACGGUCCAGACUCCUACGGGAGGCAGCAGUAGGGAAUCUUCCGCAAUGGGCGAAAGCCUGACGGAGCAACGCCGCGUGAGUGAUGAAGGGCUUCGGAUCGUAAAACUCUGUUAUUAGGGAAGAACAAAUGUGUAAGUAACUAUGCACGUCUUGACGGUACCUAAUCAGAAAGCCACGGCUAACUACGUG